CGGCAACAGCUCAAAUUUGAAAUCUGGCUUCGGCCCGAGUUGUAAUUUGUAGAGGAUGCUUUGGGCGCGGCGCCUUCUGAGUUCCCUGGAACGGGACGCCAGAGAGGGUGAGAGCCCCGUACGGUUGGACGCCUAGCCUAUGUAAAGCUCCUUCGAC
rnacentral:rRNA from 1 species